GCCGAAGUGGUGAAAUUGGUAGACGCAGCGGACUCAAAAUCCGCCGGGGGCAACUCCAUGAGGGUUCGAUUCCCUCCUUCGGCA
rnacentral:tRNA from 1 species